rnacentral:rRNA from 1 species
UUUACCUGGUUGAUCCUGCCAGUAGUCAUAUGCUUGUCUCAAAGACUAAGCCAUGCAUGUCUAAGUACAGGCCUACCUAAGGCGAAACCGCAAACGGCUCAUUAAAUCAGUCUUAAUCCAAUGGAUGUUGACUCUAAACUUACUCGGAUAACCGUGGUAAUUCUAGAGCUAAUACGUGCAAUUGAGCUCCGACCCCGUCCCCUAACGGGCGGCGGGGAAGGGGCGCAUUUAUUAGAAUCAUAAACCGAGCGAGCUUCGGCUCGACUCAUUGCGUUUUUGAUGACUCUGGAUAACUACGCCGAGCGCUGAGGCCUUCGUGCCGGCGCCGUAUCCACCGAGUGACUGCCUUAUCAGCUCUCGAUUGUAGGUUAUUCGCCUACAAUGGCUGUCACGGGUAACGGGGAAUCAGGGUUCGAUUCCGGAGAGGGAGCCUGAGAAACGGCUACCACAUCUAAGGAAGGCAGCAGGCACGCAAAUUACCCAAUCCCAGUACGGGGAGGUAGUGACGAUAAAUACUGAUGCGUGACCGUUCCGAGGCCACGCAAUCGGAAUGAGUCCAAAUUAAGCAAGUGGACGAUAAGCCAUUGGAGGGCAAGUCUGGUGCCAGCAGCCGCGGUAAUUCCAGCUCCAAUAGUUUAUACUAAAGUUGCUGCGGUUAAAAAGCUCGUAGCUAAAAUUCAGUAUAAUGAUACGACCUACCCGAGGCUACUCCGAGUAGUUCGCGUACCGUCCUUCCUUACCCACGCCACCUCGCAAAAAGUCGUUGCGAUCGUUAAAAACGGUGCGUCCUGAUCGUUCAGUCGGGCUUACGAGAGGCCUACUCGUUUACUCGCUUGCUUGAACGCUGUAAUUUCGAUUCUCGUUCUUCUCGCGGUGCGGGUUAGGGGGUUCGUAACGACCCGGCCUGAACAAAAAGAUCUUGACGAUAUGCAUCGUGAUCGUACUCGAUGAGGCGGUGCUGGGCGGUUGGAACAAACGGGAAGCGGCGACGAGGAAGUAUGUUCUCGCGGCGUUAGGGUCGUAUUGUUAUUCCUAACUCGUUGGUUCUCACGGGAGUACUCUUUAUCGAGUGUCCCCCGCGUGGCCAACACGUUCACUUUGAAAAAAUAAGAGUGCUCAAAGCAGGCAAUACUUAAAGCCUGUCUUCAAAUGCAUUGUAUGAUGCAAAAGGACCUUGGUUAAUUUUUCUCGGUUUCUCUAACUCGAGGUAAUGAUUAAUAGAAACGGAAGGAGGCAUUAGUAUUGCGGCGCGAGAGGUGAAAUUCAUGGACCGUCGCAAGACUACCUACUGCGAAAGCAUUUGCCUAUUACGUUUUCUUUAGUCAAGAACGAAAGUUAGAGUAUCGAAGGCGAUUAGAUACCGCCCUAGUUCUUACCUUAAACAAUGCCAACUGUCGAUCCGCUCAAAGUCAAUCCCACGACUGAGCGGGGAGUCCCAGGGAAACCAAAGUCUUUUGGUUCCGGGGGAAGUAUGGUUGCAAAGCUGAAACUUAAAGGAAUUGACGGAAGGGCACCACCAGGAGUGGAGCCUGCGGCUUAAUUUGACUCAACACGGGGAAACUCACCAGGCCCAGACACUGGAAGGAUUGACAGAUUGAGAGCUCUUUCUCGAUUCGGUGGGAGGUGGUGCAUGGCCGUUCUUAGUUGGUGGAGUGAUUUGUCUGGUUAAUUCCGAUAACGAACAAGAUUCUUACCUACUAAAUAGUCGGUGGAUCGUAUCCCGAGAAACGUCCCGCUCGGGGGGUCCCCGGCGAACGUGGACGCUAAUCCGGGCGCUCCUCCCUUCCUUCCGAAAGCGACGCGUUAAUGCCGUGUCGGCUUCCUCAACGUUCCUCGUUCGCGGGGGCGUUGGGGGGUCGGUUCUGGUACGUCUAUCGCCUAGGAGGGUUUAAAAAGGGAGUGCGGUUGCUCGUGAGGACGCGUCGCUUCGCCGAGAGAUUCCCCCGUUCAGGGCAAUUCGAGGGGCGUCCAUCGUCGUAUCUUCUUAGAGGUACCGGCGACGUAAAAGUUGCACGAGAAAGAGCAAUAACAGGUCUGUGAUGCCCUUAGAUGUUCUGGGCCGCACGCGCGCUACAAUGCAGGGAGCAGCGUGCUUCCCCCCUCCGAAAGGAGCGGGUAACCCUUUGAAACCCCUUCCCGAUAGGGAUUGGGGAUUGUAAGUGUUUCCCAUGAACGAGGAAUUCCUCGUAAGCGUAAGUCAUGGAGCUUGCGAUGAUUACGUCCCUGCCCUUUGUACACACCGCCCGUCGCUACUACCGAUGAAUGAUUAAGUGAGGUCGUCGGACCUGUGCCCUCGGUAGCCUACGGCGAGUCCGUUAGCACCCUCCGGGCAGCAGGGAAGACGUCCAAAUUCGAUCAUUUAGAGGAAGUAAAAGUCGUAACAAGGUUUCCGUAGGUGAACUGCGGGAAAGAAUCAA